ACAUGCAAGUAGAACGCUGAAGGAGGAGCUUGCUUCUCUGGAUGAGUUGCGAACGGGUGAGUAACGCGUAGGUAACCUGCCUGGUAGCGGGGGAUAACUAUUGGAAACGAUAGCUAAUACCGCAUAAUAGUAGAUGUUGCAUGACAUUUGCUUAAAAGGUGCAAUUGCAUCACUACCAGAUGGACCUGCGUUGUAUUAGCUAGUUGGUGGGGUAACGGCUCACCAAGGCGACGAUACAUAGCCGACCUGAGAGGGUGAUCGGCCACACUGGGACUGAGACACGGCCCAGACUCCGACGGGAGGCAGCAGUAGGGAAUCUUCGGCAAUGGACGGAAGUCUGACCGAGCGACGCCGCGUGAGUGAAGAAGGUUUUCGGAUCGUAAAGCUCUGUUGUAAGAGAAGAACGAGUGUGAGAGUGGAAAGUUCACACUGUGACGGUAUCUUACCAGAAAGGGACGGCUAACUACGUGCCAGCAGCCGCGGUAAUACGUAGGUCCCGAGCGUUGUCCGGAUUUAUUGGGCGUAAAGCGAGCGCAGGCGGUUAGAUAAGUCUGAAGUUAAAGGCUGCGGCUUAACCAUAGUACGCUUUGGAAACUGUUUAACUUGAGUGCAAGAGGGGAGAGUGGAAUUCCAUGUGUAGCGGUGAAAUGCGUAGAUAUAUGGAGGAACACCGGUGGCGAAAGCGGCUCUCUGGCUUGUAACUGACGCUGAGGCUCGAAAGCGUGGGGAGCAAACAGGAUUAGAUACCCUGGUAGUCCACGCCGUAAACGAUGAGUGCUAGGUGUUAGACCCUUUCCGGGGUUUAGUGCCGCAGCUAACGCAUUAAGCACUCCGCCUGGGGAGUACGACCGCAAGGUUGAAACUCAAAGGAAUUGACGGGGGCCCGCACAAG
rnacentral:rRNA from 1 species